rnacentral:rRNA from 1 species
ACCCAGGCGAGAACCCUGAGGGCCGAAGUGGAGAAGGGUUUCUCGAGAACGGCACUCGCUCGAGAGUUAGUCGAUCCUAAGCUGCCGGCGGCAGCCACGAAACGGUCGAUCGGGCGCGAGCCCGGCAGCCACGACCGGGCAGCGAAAGGGAAUUGGGAACCUCCUUCCCAAACCCGGAACCGGAACGAGGGCGGCGACGCGAACGAAACGGCCGCGGAGACGGCGGCCGCGGCCCCGGAGAGAGUUCUCUUUUCUGUGCGACUGGACGUCGGCCCCGGAAUCGCGUCGAGCGGAGGGGGGGUCGGAGUUCAGGAAUAGCACCCCGGCCUUUCGGGGUGUCCGGGGCGGCCGCGGUCGUCCCAUGAAAAUCCGCGGAUGAACGAGUAGGCGACGGUCCGGGUCGUACCGAACGACCGCAUCGGGUCUCCAAGGUUGAAAGCCUCUGGCUAAC